rnacentral:tRNA from 1 species
UUCUAACUUUAAAAAGAGCAAAAGUUCAUAUUUCUAUCAAAA